GACGAAGGGGGGCUAGCGUUGUUCGGAAUUACUGGGGCGUAAAGCGCGCGUAGGCGGUCUUUCAAGUCAGGAGUGAAAGCCCCGGGCUCAACCCGGGAAUAGCUCUUGAUACUGUUGGACUUUGAGUCCGGGGAGAGGAUAGUGGAAUUCCCCAGUGUAGAGGUGAAAUUCGUAGAUAUUGGGGAAGAACACCAGGUGGCGAAGGCGGCUAUCUGGACCGGUACUGACGCUGAGGCGCGAAAGCGUGGGGAGCAAACAGG
rnacentral:rRNA from 1 species